rnacentral:rRNA from 1 species
AGUCGCCGCGGGAAUACAGAGGGUGCAAGCGUUAAUCGGAAUUACUGGGCGUAAAGCGCGCGUAGGUGGUUUGUUAAGUUGGAUGUGAAAUCCCCGGGCUCAACCUGGGAACUGCAUCCAAAACUGGCAAGCUAGAGUAUGGUAGAGGGUGGUGGAAUUUCCUGUGUAGCGGUGAAAUGCGUAGAUAUAGGAAGGAACACCAGUGGCGAAGGCGACCACCUGGACUGAUACUGACACUGAGGUGCGAAAGCGUGGGGAGCAAACAGGAUUAGAUACCCCUGUAGUCCCUGUCUCUUAUACA